AUGAUUUAUAAUCAGAUUUAACCUAAAUUCUGAAACAAGUGUUCGAACUGACAUGUUAAACAAAUUUAAAAAAAAAUAAAUACAAUUUUUUAAUAUAAGUACUAAAUAUCUUACGUUUAAUCAUGUUGUAGUAAUUUUUCACUCAAACAGAGUACCUAUACUAAACAAUUAUAUUGAUAAAUAUUUUUUAAUUUUUUUAUUUUUUGAUACAAAGAAAUAAAUCGGUUAAAAGCAAAUAUUAAUCUUAAGUACGUAUUAUUUUAUCAACUAUUUUUAUAAGAAUCAGUAUUAAAAAAAAAAUAAAAAUAUAUUAAUAAUAUACCUGAUAUAACGAAUUCAAUACUAAAUUAAUUUUUUUUAAGGCUGUCGAUUGAAGAAACAACGAAAGGUAUUAAAUUACGUAACAAGGUUUUCAUAAAAAAAAAAAAAAAAAACUAAUAAUCAGAUACUUAAAAAUAAUAACGAUAAAAUAUUUUAGACUAAAAUAGACAAUAAUUUUACUGUUACUAUAUAUGCAAGUUAUACGUAAUUUCGUUAGAUAAUGUUCGUCAAACAUUAAUUCGGAAAUUCAAUUAAACGCCAUUAAUGUUAUUCAAUUUAAAUUUGUUUAAACUAUUAAAAUGUAUUCAUUUGUUGAUUUCGAAAUCAACAUAAAAUACUAUAACGCGAGCGCGCACAAAACUAAUUAUUAUUAUUAUAGGUAACAGUAAUGUUCCGGGCUAAGUUUCUCUUCGUAUUUGUUAAUUUUUUACGACAGUAUGAUGUUGUCGUAUUUACUUUAUCGUCAUAUUUUUGAGUACAAACCUCUCAAACAAUUUCAUUUUUUUUUUUUUUGUUAUUUUAAAGUCGAAUAAGACUGUUUUUUUUUUUUUUUAUAUAGUUUACAGCUACAGAAAUAUUACUUUCAACGAUGUUUCGCUACAAGGUAUCGUGGGUUUUCGUGGUAAUUUUGUUUACGUUUUCGUCCGACGGUGCGAGUAUAUAUGAUCCUGGUAAGCGGUUACAUAAAAUCGUUUAAUUGACAUGCACAUUAGAACGAUGAAAUACCAAAAGCAAUAAUUUCGGAUUGUCAGCAUUCGCAUAAAGUUUUUUAUAGAGUUCUUUUGACUUUCAUUCAUUAUAGGUAGAAACCGGAUUUAUAUUCUUUUAUAAUCCAUAAAAAGGCACUUAAAAACACCAAAAAAGUACGAAAAAAAAAACACUUCAAAAUAAAAUCAUAUGUAUAUUAUAAUUAAAAUUACUUUUUAUUUAUCAUUUUUGUAGUGUUAGAAAACUAUAUUUAUAACUUAAAUCUUAUGGAAAGAGGGCUAUUAAACCCCUCUAUUAUUUUUGUGUUUUUGUAUAUUUGUUAAGUUAUUUUUUUUUCCAGUGUUUUUUAGCGUUUUUAAGAGCUUUUUGGAUUUUAAGAACAUAUUAAUCUGGCCUCAGUUAUAGGUAUCUUAUAAAAAACGAACCGAUUUUAAGAGUCUGAACGGAGUGAGGAAUGUAUUGCUUUUACAAUGAUUUAUAUUUUUAUUUUUUUAUGUAAAUACUUUUGUACCAGAAAGCAUACUCCGAUUAUCAAUACAGCGCUUUUUCUGAUAAUGUGGAAAAUCUGGUUUUUUAAGUUAAAAAAAAAAAAAAUAAAAGAAUAAAAAUAAGGUUGUCAUUGACAACUGUUUUUAUUUAUUUCUUUGUUACUAUUAAGUUUUUAUUAUUUUAAAAAAUAUUUUUUAAACAAUCAUUGUUUUCAUAGAAACGCACAUUGUUUUAAUCGUUUUAUUUACUAUAAUUUUAUGAUAUAUAUAUAUAUAUAUUGUUGAAAAAGCAACUCUGUCAACUGAAUUCCGCUCAGAAUAAUUUAUCGUAACUUACAGAUAUGUAUUAAAUUCCCGUCUGUAUCCUACCUUCCCAACUUUCCACGUACAACAGUAGAUGCACCUACGUAUGAAGUAUGUCCGUCCUUUUAUAUAUAUAUAUUUUUUAAAUCGGAUAUGAAUGCAUAAAAAAUUAAAAUUUUAGAAAAAUGUUCUUUUAUAAAAUGGCUAUUUUGAAAAUUGUCUAAAAUGAAUAAAUAAAAAAAAAACUUUUUUGUAAUUAGGGAAUAGUAAUAAAAAUUUAAUUUUUCACCAAAUCGAUGUUCCCCUCGAAAAAAAAAACAAUUAGAAAAAAAAAUGUAAUAUUAACAGCGCCAGAAAAAUCCGUCGACAUGGUUGGACACAAUGUAUUUAUACUUAUAUUCGACAUAAAAUAUGUAAUUUGACUUCAUGUUAGGUACCUAUACACAUGCUGCAUUAUUUUGUUCGAUUAUUAAUUUACCGUUAAUUAUUACGAGUGAUUUGGGUUAAUAGAUGACUUGCUCGUUAGAGGAAUCAGAAAUCAGUAUGGUGUUAAUGGUUUUUAUGGUUCUAUUCGAGAACCUAUGUAUUCGUACUACGGGCCAAGUAAGCGAAAUUAUUUAUAUGUUAUACAUGACUUUUAUCAGCCAUAUUUUCCUAAAAAAAAAAAAAAAACCCCCAAAGCGUACACACUCAUUUACGAAUUUCAACAACGAAUAUUUUGAGGGAUAUGAGCGUAUACCUACUUGUUCUAUUUUUACUGGGUAUACGCUGAUUGACCAAAUGGCAAACGAAUACUCGCCGCAUGCCACCGUAAACCCUCCAAAACGCCAUCGAGUCUAUUAUGACACACAAGAGACGUUCGCGUAACAUUAUUCCGUAGAUCUAAUUUGGCGGCAUAACGCACACGCACGAUAAUCGCUUCCGCGUGCACAUACUAAAUUACUCUGUAUACAGCUUAUACCUUCCCAACUAUCCACCCGCAACAGUCGCCUGCCCGAGAUCAAUCACCGCUCUUCGAAAUUCAUAUUAUACGUCUCACUCCCGCUCCUAAAAAUAAAUCCUGGUCAUGUCACUGGUGUACUAUAAGUAUAUAUAAUUGCAAUAAUUGUUAUUAAAGAUUCAUUGUUGAAGGUAGGUUAAUUGUUUAACAUAAUGUAUAGUUACGCCAAUUAAAACUAUAAUUAUCUUUAUUAGAUAUUAAAAAAUUGUAAUGCAUUUAUAUUUAUUAUUUUCAGUUAUUACAGAAAAGAUAGGGUCAAGAAUAGUAUGAAAAUUUGUAUUAAAAAAACAAUUUAAAAUACAUUUUAAAUGAUAAAUAUAAUUUGUUUAUUGUGAGAUUUUAUUAUAAUUUUAAAAACACAUAUUUGAAAUCAUAAUAAUGGAAAUCAAUUUUAAUAAUUAUAAUAUUGUGCUUAAAAUGUAUGUGGAUAUUUAAGAGAUUUUCGUUUACCUCUACUAUCUCGGACGCGGAAAGCAGGUUCAGGAUCAAUUUUUGAG